GAUGAAGAACGCAGCGAAAUGCGAUACUUGGUGUGAAUUGCAGAAUCCCGUGAACCAUCGAGUCUUUGAACGCAAGUUGCGCCCGAAGCCAUUAGGCCGAGGGCACGCCUGCCUGGGCGUCACACGUCGUUGCCCCCCCAUCUACUCCUUCGGGAUUGCGGGGGGCGGAUGAUGGCCUCCCGUGCGCCUCGUCGCGCGGUUGGCAUAAAUGCCAAGUCCUCGGCGACGCACGCCACGACAAUCGGUGGUUGCGAAACCUCGGUUGCCCGUCGUGUGCGGUCGUCGCGCAUCGAGGGCUCGAAAAAAUUGCUGGGCUCCGGCUCGGCUUUCAACGCGACCCCAGGUCAGGCGGGGUUACCCGCUGAAUUUAAGCAUAUCAAUAAGCGGGGA
rnacentral:misc_RNA from 1 species